GAUGAACGCUGGCGGCGUGCCUAACACAUGCCAGUCGAGCGGACAGACGAGGAGCUUGCGCCGCUGACGUUAGCGGCGGGCGGGUGAGUAACACGUGGAUCACCUCCCUAUAAGACUGGGAUCUCUACGGGAAAGCGGAUCUAAUAGCGGAUGAGAUAUUGAACCGCGUGGGGCGAUGGUGAGAGACGGUUGUGCUGUCUCUUAUCGCUGGAUCCGCGCCGCAUUAGGUAGUUGGUAAGGUAACGGCUUACCAAGGCAACGAUGCGUGGCCGAGCUGAGAGGGGGAUAGCCGACCCGGGAACUGAGACACGGACCAGACUCCUGCGGGAGGCCGCAGUAGGGAAUCUUCCGCAAUGGGCGAAAGCCUGACGCAGCAACGCCGCGUCAGUGGUGAAGGUCUUCGGAUCGUAAAACUCUGUUAUUAGGGAAGAACAGAUGUGUAAUUAACCAUGGCCGUCUUGACGGUACCUAAUCAGAAAGCCACGGCUAACUACGUG
rnacentral:rRNA from 1 species